UACAACAGUGCGCCUCACCCAUCGUGUGAAGCAUGGGCGUAUAUUUUUAUUACAGGGUGGGGCACUAAAAUGGCCAAUUUCAGAAAUAGAUUUUUUCAGUAGUAAUUUAGAUAAGAAUUCUCACUAAACAUUAUUAGUUCAAAGACAACAUGCCAUUUAAUAAACAUGGAACAGUGGAGUGGUGAACAACGUGCUUAUGCGAUAAAAUCGUUUUACAAAAAUAAUGACAGUUACGUAGCCGCACAGUGUUAAUUUUGUCUUCAACUUAAUCUUAAACGCCAUGAUUCGGUACCAUCAAAGUAAAGUCUAUGCCCAGAAACCUCGAAAUAUUUGAUGAAUUAAAAACCAAAAUUAAAGAAGAAAUCGCCAGUACACCUUUGGAAGUGAUACACCGUGUAGUGAAAAAUAUAUGAAGUAGGCUAGAAGAGUACUUGA